ACGUAGGUGGCAAGCGUUGUCCGGAAUUAUUGGGAGAAAAGGGAGAGAAGGUGGUUAUAUAAGUCUGAUUUUAAAGUUCGGGGCUCAACCCCGUGAUGGAUUGGAAACUGUAUAACUUGAGUACAGUAGAGGUAAGCGGAAUUCCCAGUGUAGCGGUGAAAUGCGUAGAUAUUGGGAGGAACACCAGUGGCGAAGGCGGCUUACUGGGCUGUAACUGACACUGAGGCGCGAAAGCCAGGGGAGCAAACGG
rnacentral:rRNA from 1 species